rnacentral:misc_RNA from 1 species
GAUGAAGAACGUAGCGAAAUGCGAUACGUAAUGUGAAUUGCAGAAUUCAGUGAAUCAUCGAGUCUUUGAACGCACAUUGCGCCCCCUGGUAUUCCGGGAGGCAUGCCUGUCCGAGCGUCGUUUCAACCCUCGAGCCCCCGUGGCCCGGCGUUGGGGAUCUGCCACGGCAGGCCCCUAAAACCAGUGGCGGACCCGAAGGCCCUCUCCUUUGCGCAGUAGCAUCAGCCUCGCAUUGGGAUCCCUCGGCGUCCUGCCUCUAAACCCCCCACAAGUCCGCUCCGGCGGCACCAAGGUUGACCUCGGAUCAGGUAGGAAUACCCGCUGAACUUAAGCAUAUCAAUAAGCGGAGGA